AACGCGAAGAACCUUACCCAGGCUUGACAUGCACCGGACAGCACCAGAGAUGGUGUCUUCCUUCGGGACCGGUGCACAGGUGCUGCAUGGCUGUCGUCAGCUCGUGCCGUGAGGUGUUGGGUUAAGUCCCGCAACGAGCGCAACCCUUAUCAUUAGUUGCCAACAUUUAAGGUGGGAACUCUAAUGAGACUGCCUGGGUUAACCAGGAGGAAGGUGAGGAUGACGUCAAGUCCGCAUGGCCCUUAUGUCUGGGGCUACACACGUGCUACAAUGGCCGGUACAAUAGGCAGCGAAACCGCGAGGCGAAGCAAAUCCCUAAAAGCCGGCCCCAGUUCAGAUUGUAGUCUGCAACUCGACUACAUGAAGACGGAAUUGCUAGUAAUGGCGAGUCAGCAACAUCGCCGUGAAUACGUUCCCGGGCCUUGUACACACCGCACUACUA
rnacentral:rRNA from 1 species